rnacentral:rRNA from 1 species
GUGGGGAAUAUUGCACAAUGGGCGCAAGCCUGAUGCAGCGACGCCGCGUGAGGGAUGGAGGCCUUCGGGUUGUAAACCUCUUUUGUUUGGGAGCAAGCCUUCGGGUGAGUGUACCUUUCGAAUAAGCGCCGGCUAACUACGUGCCAGCAGCCGCGGUAAUACGUAGGGCGCAAGCGUUAUCCGGAUUUAUUGGGCGUAAAGGGCUCGUAGGCGGCUCGUCGCGUCCGGUGUGAAAGUCCAUCGCUUAACGGUGGAUCUGCGCCGGGUACGGGCGGGCUGGAGUGCGGUAGGGGAGACUGGAAUUCCCGGUGUAACGGUGGAAUGUGUAGAUAUCGGGAAGAACACCGAAGGCGAAGGCAGGUCUCUGGGCCGUCACUGACGCUGAGGAGCGAAAGCGUGGGGAGCGAACAGGAUUAGAUACCCCUGUAGUCC